rnacentral:lncRNA from 1 species
UUUGCCCUAACCCCAGCAUUAGUCCUCUAUAGAAAAUGUUUUCAAUUCCUAAAUAUAUUUUCUAGAAAUAAUUCCAAAAUGUCACCAUUUUUGUAUAAUUUUAUUUUAUAAGACAGAAUUUCUAAAUAAGUGCUAAGAUAAUAUUGUAUCUUUUGUCUUUCUAAUCCUUAUGGAAGUUUCCCUUAAUCUUUAUUUACCUUCAGCCAACUAAAAAUCUGUAUCCUCCCACAACCUCUUUUUUUCUAGCAAAUGAGUGAUAUCACCCACUUUUCCUUAGCUAUGAUUUUUUGCUCCUACACUUUGUUCUAGCUAUUGCAACAUCAUAGUAAGCCUCAAUGUGUGAAACAAUUCAAGAAAGUUUAUAGGAAAACACUUGUGAAGUUUUUCCAGAUAUAUUUGUAUAUUGUAUUUCAAAAAUUGUGUCUGUUUUGAGAUUUAAGAGUUCCUUCAACUACUGAAACUUCUAUUUGUUAUUUUUUUCUCUUUGAUGGACAAUUAUUUUGUGGAUUCUGUGGAAUUUUAAAUAUAGAUUACUUGCAUCUUACUAUCAUUAAGACAAUAUAGUUUACUUUAACAUAGUAUAGUUUGUUUUUGUCUUUUUGCCUUUUCUAGGGCUUCACCCAUGGCAUACAGAGAUUCCCAGGCUAGGGGUCUAAUCGGAGCUGUAGAUGCCAGCCUAUGUCAGAGCCACAACAAGGCCAGAUCAGAGCCGUGUCUGCAACCUACACCACAGCUCAGGGCAACACCGGAUCCUUAACCCACUGUGCGAGGCCAGGGAUCAAACCCGCAACUUCAUGGUUCCUAGUCGGAUUUGUUAACCACUGAGCCACAACAGGAACUCCAAGUUUAACAGAGUAUAGUUUUAUAUAAGAACAUUUUAUAUAAGUAUGCAAAUACCAUUAUUCACAAUAGCCCAAAUAGGAAAGCAGUCUGCGUGCUCAUUGAUGGAUGAAUACAGAAGAUGUAGUAUGCUACACACACAAAAGAACAUUAAAAAGAACAACGCCGUGCCAUCUAUGAUAAUGUGGAUGAACCUAGAGGUAUUAUGCUAAGUGAAAUAAGUUAGAUCGAGAAAGCCAAGUACCAUCCGAUUUCACUCAUAUGUGGAAUCUAAACACUAAAAAAUGUACAAAUAUAACAAAACAGAAAUAGAGUCAUAGAUACAGAGAACAGAUGAUUGCCAGAGGGGCAGGGAGUGGAAGGAUGAGUGAAAUAGAUGGGGAAAUUAAGAGGUACAAACUUUCAGUUACACAAUAAAUGAGUCACGGGGAUGAAUGUACAGUAUGGGGAAUAUAUCAAUAGAAUUAAUUAAUAUUGCUGUAUGUUGUAUAUGAAGGUUAAAAGAGUAAAUCCUAGGAGUUCUCAUCAAGGAAAAACUUUUCCUUUUAUUUUGGAUCUGUAUGAAAUGAUGGAUGUUCACUAAGUAAUCAUUUCCUAAUGUAUGUAAGUCAAAUCAUUAUACCUUACACCUUAAAAUUAUAGCAGUGUAUGUCAAUUAUAUCUCAAUAAAAAUGGAAGAAAAAAGUAUGCAAAAAGAAAAAGAAAAAGAAUCCUGUUUUGACAGGAAAAUAAAAGGAUUAUGGAUGUAAAUAGAGUUUCACAUUGACAGAAUAGUUUUUGUGGGAGAUGUCAAACUAAAUUAAGUGAUUGCUGAGGGUAACAGUUUGGGACCAAUUGCUUUAUCAAGUCACUAACACUGAAGAAAAAUAUAAGAUGAUAAGUGUAAAUGAGUAUUUUUAAAAUUCUCAUUUGUAUUUUAAUGGCACACCUGAAUUAAGAAAAGGCAUCAUUCAGACACCAUUCUGUAAAAGUAGUUCAUCUGUUGUCCCUACUCUGAACGCCAAAAUCUUGAAAUUUUCUACUUUAUCAUUCAAUUCAGAUGCUAUCUUCUGUGCUUUUUGGAAAAAUUAUUUGUAUAUAGCAUUUAAGGCCAUACCCAUGGCAUAGGGAAGUUCCCAGGCCAAGGACUGAAUCAGAGACACAGUUGUGGCAAUGCCAGGCCCUUUAACCCACUGUGCCAGGCCAAGGAUCGAACCUGCACCUCUGCAGCAAGCCCAGCCACUGCAGUUAGAUUCUUAACCCACUGCGCCAUGGAGGGAGCUCCAUUUUUAUAUAUUUAUAAUAAUUUAAAUGAAGGAUUAGUUAAGAACAAUUGAACCAAUAUUUUAAGAUUAUAUAUAUCUGAAUAAUUUAGAAUAUGCAUUUAUUCUCUGUAAGACAAGAAGCCAGAGUCAUGGUCUUAGUAUGAAAUGUAAGAGAAAUGGUUAUAUUUAUGUGAACUUGUCAUCCUAAACCAUACAAUAACUGAAAAUAACACAAUUGUUCCAUUGUAUAGGAGGCAUUUGACUGUUUUCAUAAAGGGUCUGAAAAUCACACAAACAGCUUAUGAUUUCCAACUCUACUUUAAACUAAGUAAUAAGAAAAUAUUCUGAUUACUAAUAGAGUACAUAAGGCAAAAAAAGCUGGAUUAGGCUGCAAAAAUUUAAAACCUAUACCCCGUCACAUACAGAGGAAGACAAAAAAAAAAAAAAAAAAGUGGUUUAUUUCCCAUGUCUCUAUGUAUUUAAAUGGUGUGAAAUUAACAUUAAAAGAUUCUUGCUAUCAAAGUCAUCAAAACAUCUUUUCACCCCAUACACGGGCAUAGUAUCCAAAUACACUCUAGCUUCUUGAUACAAGUUAUAAUAGGCCAACGAACUAUCUUGCCUCGGGAAUAACAUGAAAAAAUGCUAUGAUCUAACGCCAAAACCCAAAGCAGUACUGAUGCCCUCUACAAGAAAAUUAGAGCUAUUUCUCCUUUGGGGAGAACUUGAUUCAAAUUAAGGAUUCUAAUUUUAUGCUGAAGUGAUCCACUGCAUCAGGGAAGAGCAAAUUUGAUUUUCAAGUGCCAAUCAAAAGCAUCAAUAGGCACUAUCAAAGUUUAUCAAUUUGGCUGUGAGCGUUUGUGAAUGAAUCACCUUCCCCACAUAAUACCCCCAGAAGGAAUUUCAGUAUCUACAAGGGACCUGGAACCAUUUAUUUUGAGAAUGAAAGAAUAAAUGAUUAAAUUUAUAAACUGUCACCCAUUAACAAAUAUUUACCUGAAGUUUCUACCUCAGAUUAAACCUUAAUGAGGUUGCCUACUUGUCAACAUACUAAGCGAGCCCAUUUUCAGAGACCAUGACUGGUGAGGGAAUAUUUCCAUCAUAUUUCCAUCUGAAUAGCCUCACAUUAAAUUAUGCUGGAAAAAAAGCAUUCACAUUAUUGAAAGGAUGCAAAACACUGAUUAGCUCAUCUCAAAAUGUUUAACAAGAUCCCAGCAGGAGAUUAAGAGAAGUCUAGAGUGAACAAUCAAGCUCUUACUCAAUAGGAAAAUUCACCUAUCCUCACAAAAUUGCCAUCAAUGUAUAAAGUUAUAGCAGCAGCAAUUAUAGUCAACGCGAUACCCUUGUGCAUGGGAACAAAACUCACAACUACAAUGUCUCCCAGAGUGUUUUAUAAGAGUGGCAUCAUUUAGUAAAGAGAUUGGACUUUAUGCUAACGUUUGCCAUAAUAAGGUCCAGCACUUUUCAUCUUAGAACUUGGCAGAACCACCCUUCCAGAGGGUCAUAUCCGUUUCCAUUUCACUACACACACUUCUUUUUCUUUCACUCCAGGCAAUAGAGUAGAAAGGUAGGGUCAGAUCCAGGUUCAGGUCUUAGCUCUGCACUUACCAGCUUUGCAAAUCAUCUUCCCUCUCUGACUCUCAGUUUCCUCCUCUAUAAAAUGAGGAUAAUGAUUCCUACCUCCAGGAACAAUUAUGAGAAUUUAAGAAUACAGUUUGUCUGAAGUGUCUGGCACUGGAAAGCUAUUACAUAAAUAUGAGAUGCUUUCCCUAUCUGGUUAAGAGUUUUAUAAGUAGAAAAGUAGCAUUUGAGACACAAACUUUUGAAAUUUCAUGCAAUUCAAUUUGGCUUCCAAAACAAUAGUGAAGGUGCUAUUUUUCAAACUAAUGUAUUAUUCAAAUGUAAAAAGAAAAAGAAAAAAGAAAAACUUUACUGUCUUUAAAUAGCAUGCAUUCUAGCUCAGGAUCUGUUCAUGACAAUGAACCAGGAAUAUUAUGCAGUAAUGAGGCACUUCUGAAAUCAGUGUUUGAGGCCUGUGAGAACUGAGAGAAAAUAGAAUGCCAUAGCACCACAAGUUAUUGAGACUCAGUGUCCAAUAAUUAGAGUACCAAUUCAUAUAAAAUUAAAAGGAUGGAAGUUAAUCCCAAUACUGUUACAUAAUGAUAAAAAUACAUGUGACUGUCACCCCAAGUCUACUUAUAACAACUAAAAUUCUCCUAUAAGAUUCAGAAGUCAUUUUGAUAAAAUCAAAUUAGCAAUAAAAAUGCCUUUUUUUUUUUCCAAAAGUCUGAGACUGAGUCUACUUUAAAAAGAAGUCAAUUCCAGCUACAGUUAAAGAAUAAUGCAUGUUGCCUUCUUAUUUUGGGGGUGGGGGGGGAGGCAAAUCCAAAGCGUAUGGAGGUUCCCAGGCUAGGGGUUGAAAUCAGAGCUGUAGUUGCCAGCCUACACCACAGCCACAGCAACUCAGGAUACGAGUCACAUCUGUGACCUACACCACGGCUCAGGGCAAAGCUGGAUCCUUGACCCACUGAGGCCAGGGAUUGAAUCUGCAUCCUCGUGCAUACUAGUCGGGUUUGUUAACCACUGAGCCAUGAUGGGAACUCCUUUUAUAAUUUUAAACAGUCACUCAAAACAGCACUGUCCCAAAGCUCCAUUACUAGCCUGAAAAUAUAUCAUCCUGCUAAAAAGGCAAAUAUUUUUAUCAUCUUUAACAACUUUUUAUUAAAAUGGUGAAAAUAUAGCUGGAUUUUUAAAAAUAACUUAAACAUGUAUAAAAAUAACCGAAUCAUGUGUAAACUAUGUUACAAAGUUAGUUUGAUACAAUGCAGAAUACAGCAGAAAAAAAAUUCAUUCAGAAAAGCUGGGGAGUUCCCGCCAUGGCUCAGCGGCUAAAGAACCUGACCAGUGUCCAUGAGGAUUUGGGUUCAAUCCCUGGCCUCACUCAGUGGGUUAAGGAUCCAGCGUUGCCAUGAGCUGUGGUGUAGGUCUCAGAUGCAGCUCAGACCCAGACCUGCUGUGACUGUGGCAUAGGCUGGAAGCUACAGCUUCAAUUAGACCCCUAGCCUGGGAAAUUCCAUAUGCCAUGGGUAUGUCCCUAAAAAAAAAAAAAAAAAAAAAAAAAAGAUAAGAGAUUAGAAGAAAGGUGUUCUUAGGGUAUAGGG